rnacentral:lncRNA from 1 species
GGCUGUAGCUGGUUUUAUGAGAUAUCACGGUGCUGUGUCAUGCACCUGUGUAGCUGAGAGCAGAAUGUUCGCUGCGGAGAUGGAAAAAAAAAAAACAGGCACUGGAAGGGAUAUAAGCACAGUCCCCUUUUGUUAGCAAUGAAAGUGGAGCACAUGGCCUGGAGUAACUUUCUGAAAGAUCAUUGAAAGAAACUCACGAGUUUCUACUUUAUACCCGUAUCCUUUAAUCUUUUAGCUAAAAUUUCAUGUACCCAACGAAGUAACCGGAUUUAUUUUGCUUCCCACCAGCCAAGAUGUUAACCGGACCCUUCAGCUUUCCCUCUGCUCUCUGCCUUUAACCUGGGCCAAUUAGGUUGGGAACUACACUGCAGCAUGGCCUCGAAACAACACGCUUGCUCAGAAUUGUCCUUCGAAUGCUGCUGUUCUCCCACGGGAAUCGGAAAUCCCAGGGCCUGCAUGCUUAACCCUUUCCACACCAUGGACACGCCUCAGGUUCUAAAGAGCAAAGCAUGUCACUCAGGCAGACCAUGACCUUGGCUCCUAAUCCGGAAGGCCAGUUUCAGGGAUGCCCACGUGGAGAAGAGAAAAUGACCAGAGAACAAAUCACAGUGAAAGCUGUAGCCCACAGUGUUGCUCACGAUUUCAGAGGAGAAUUGAAAAUGAGGAGGAAUGGAAUAUUCGCAAGUGUCUACUUGUCAACAAAGCGUGCCAGCAACCUGAGCGGCUCACUUGGGAGGCUGCAUGGCCGAGCAGGCGAAGCACUUACAGUGGAAGCGAGGCCUGUGAUGCUGUCAACUUGCUUCUUAACCCUAGGAUGCUGUGAGAAUUAAAUUACAUAGUAGCUGCAAAAUAAUUUGGCUUUCUUGGAGUUGGACACCACCUGAACCUGAGUGAAAUGAUUGUGCACUUCUUAAUGGCCUCCAUCUCUGGCCAAGCUGCCUUGGGACCAGAACAAUCAUCUAAGUCCCAGUUUCCAGCCUAAAACAGCAUGAGGACAAGGCCAGGAGGCCACAGCAAGGCUGUAAUCAGAACCCACAAGGAUUGCAUGGAGAUGCUGCAGUGCCGCCACCACCCAACGGCCGGAGCCCCCAGCAAAGAGUUUUCCACAAAAUGGGAGAAAAGUAUAAGAAGCUCUUCCUGCUAUGGAGCCCCAAUACAAUGCUUCGUACCUAGAAGGCUCUCAGAAACAGAAAUCUGGUGAAUUAGUUAAAUUAUAUGCUUCUCUGCCCUCUGCCCUCCAUAAGAAAAAAAGAAAAGACCUAUAAAAGGCAUUCUGAACACUGGAGUUUGGCUCCUGUUUACCAUGUACAUCUAGAGAAGUGUACAAUUCGUGCUUGUAUGAAAUAAUGAAUGUUCACAAAGUGAGUAUACUUCUGUAAGCACUGCCUAAAUCAAAAGCAGCAAUGUGACCAGCCCCCCGGCCACCCUUGGUGCUCUCCCAAGCACUCCUCCACCAUCCUCUCCAACUGCAACCGCUAUCCUGAUUUCUAACACCCUAGGGGAGUUUUGCCUAGUUUUAAAUUUUACAUGAAUGGAGUCUCAUCAUAUGUAUUACUUUUACACUCAUAAUAUUUUCAAGAUAAGGAUAAAAAGCAAAAUUUUGGUCUUAUCACAAAGAUAUACCUGAGAUACACGAUCUUUAGAUUCUAAAUGACAAAGACUGAACUAAUCUAAAGGACAAAAAUGCAAACUGCAUUUUCACUUCUGGCUAAACUGAAUUUUUAAAAAAUUUCUCUUAUGCUUUCUUAUGUUUUAAUGAUCAUUCAUGAUAUUGCUUAAUUUCAGAGCAUAGAAAAUUGUGAAGUACAGUAGCAAAGACAUGGAAUCAACCUAAAUGCCCAUCAGUGGUUGACUAGAUAAAGAAAAUGUGGUACAUAUACACCAUAGAGUACUAUGCAGCCAUAAAAAGGAUGAUAUCAUGUCCUUUGCAGGAACGUGGAUGGAGCUGGAGGCCGUUAUCCUUAGCAAACUAAUGCAGGAACAGAAAACCAAAUACUGCUUGUUCUCAUUUGGAAACAAGGCAACUCAGAGGACUGAGAGACUCAGGACUUCCAGACAGAGGAUCAGGCGUACCUCAUGCAUGGGUGUUUUGGAAGAAGGCCAUUUUGAAACCUACUCUGUAUCAUUACAGACUUUCAGUGAAUUAAUUUAGAAUAAAUCCACCUCCUUCCCUGUAUGUGGUAGAAUUUCACUGGGAUACAACGUGAGGACAGAGAUUUGAACCCUCAGUCCCACUUAUGAUGCGGGGCUUCAGGGGCACCACGGACAUGCUCCGCAUUCACCCAUCUGUGGGGGAGGACUAAGGAAGCUGCGCUGGUGUGUGAGAAAGUAAUGGGCUCUUUUAAGCCCUUUUACUUAAAGCAAUAAAAGAAUAACUGCGUCAUCUGCUGGAGUAAAAGUUUUCAACAGAUGACCGGCUUGGUUCUUAAAACACACACACACACACACACACACACACGAGGAGUGAACCACACAGCAUGCAAAUGAGAGGAACAAACGCUUUUGUUUGUUGGAGAUUAAUUUUUAUGGAAAGUUGUACAUUGCAGAUUGCAAUCAACCUGACACAUUCUCUCCCUCCUGCUCCUUCUCUCAGUUGGCUUUGAGGAGAGGCACUUCCAAGUUUGAGAAUUCAUCUUGUCUGAUUAAUGAUGUGUACACAGAGAUUUCAGUCUCAUCUUCCUUCUCUGGGUCCUUUUUAUUCAGUUGUUUGCUGUGCUACAACCCUGCGGAUAGAUGGUUCUGCCGUGAUAAAUGUAAAGUUUGCAUAAGCCAUGUAACAGCAGGACAGCCUAUUAUCACCGUACAUUUUCCAUGGCUGUGCAAACCUCUGUAGGCUAUUUUAUUGCUAAUAGAUCCACAGAGAAACAGUAGUGAUUUUACGACUCUUUUUAAAAUGGAAAUUCAUGUUUGAGAAAUACAACUGGGAGGAAACAGAUGUAAACCACUUAAGCAUUUGCAGAAAAUUGAGAUGCACACUCUUAUUUACAGACCUACAUAGCCUCCAUCGCUUUAUUUUCAAAAUUAAAAUAAGCAAUCUGUUUACCAUGGGAAAUGAUGAACUGUAAACUUGUUGUUUUUCCUUUUACAUGGCAAUGGCCGCCAUCGUUGGGUUUAAUGGCAGAACUGAAGCAGGCAGCGUGGCAAUUUUUUCCCCUUAGGUUUUAUUGUCUGUAAUGCAUUCCCUCUGUAAUCUGCGCGAGAGGUAGGUAAGUGGGAAAGAUUUUCGUGUAACUGUAUGUCUGAAUUCACAUUAUGCUUGAACAGCUAAAAUGAUUACCAGACACAUUAGAAAGAUUUUAACCAGGUAUUUAACACUAUCUGUAAAUUGCUUAAAAUACUGGAAGAGUCAACCUCCACAAAAACGCUUUCACAUGGCCAAACACAAAAGCACAACCCAUCCAAAAACAUUUAUUCUGGCCUCGUCCCAACUUUCUCACAUCUUUUGGAGUUGUGACAAAUGUCACAUGUUGGAAAGGAGAUACAAAUGGAAGCAUCACAAAACAAUAUAGCAAUGAGAAGUCUGUCCACCAGACUCAUCAGAGCAAGCUCCUUGUGGCAUGUGGAAGCUCCUCUGGUUUUUAAUUUCAGCAUUGAUCUUUUUUUUUUUUUUUUUUUUUAGGUCUAGAACUACAUUUUUUGUUGCGGCAAAAUAUAUGCAACACAAAAUUGACCGUUUUAACCAUUUCUAAGUAUACAAUUCAGUGGCAUGAAAUGCAUUCACAUUGUCGUGCAACCAGCACCACCAUCCAGCUCCAGAACUUCAUCACAGACUGAAACUCUGUACCCAUGAAAGCAAAGACUCGCCAUUUCCCCCUCUUCUCCCAGCCCCUAGUAAUUUCUAUUCUACCUUCUGGCUGUAUGAAUUUGCCUAUCCUAGGCACCUCAUAUAAGUGGAAUUAUACAGUACUUGUCCCUUUGUAACUAGCUUAUUUCACUUAGCAUAAUGUCCUCAGGGUUCACCCAUGUUGUAGCAUGUAUCAGAAUGUCUUUCCUUUCUAAGGCUGAAUAAUAUUCCAUGGUGUGUAUAUACCACAUUUUGUUUAUCUGCCCUGUGUGGCUAGUCCUGGGAUUUUAAUAUUGAGGAGGUAUCCCCAUCAACCCGGGGAUGGAAGUGGCCUGCUUAUUCGUGAGCACUGCAAAGCAGGACGGCUAAGGAGAAUGAGAGGCGUCCAGACUAGGUCUGCAGAAUCAGGCAGGGAGGGCUCCUGGAAACUAUAGGUUUCUGGUCUCUGUAUAACAAUCACCAGCUGUGGGAAUAUUUUGCUUUCAUCCUUAAGCUUUGUUUUAAAUGUCAAAGGAGACUAAGCUAGACCCUCUUAGGAACUGAAAUUUUUCUCGGAGACAAGAUAUGAUGGACUUCGGCCCAAAGUCAGAUAACAGAAUGUGUUUCCAACCCCAUGCCUCCCCAAGCCACUCACUGCCACUGGGGAAGGCACUCGGGAGACUCCCUGAUCAUGGCCCUUGGAUUGCAUCAAAUGAGGCACAGCCACAGUGAGCAGGCUCUGAGCUCACUCACUCUUGGUGGAAACCAUACUAUAUGGAGA